AAAAAAAACAAAUGAAAAAUCAUUGGCAUGGCAUGAAAGCCGAGUGGACUCUUUUUAAGCAAUUGAUGAGAGGGGAUACAUGUAUAGGAUGGGAUGCCACCAAAAAUACAAUUAUGACAGAUGAUGAUUGGUGGAAGCGAAAAAUUAAGGAGGAUGUUCAAUAUAGAAAAUUUAGGAAUAAGGAUCUUUCACUCAUAUGGUUUCGCUAUGAUGCAUUAUUUUCUGACAUUAUUGCUACGGGGGAAAGAGCACGUGCCUCAAAUCAACCCCAAUUUUUUGAAACUGGAUAAAUUUUGACGAAGAAAUACCAAAUGAUAUUGAUAAUGAUGGUAUGGAGCACUUCAUUAAUACUAAUGAUGAAGGGGGUGAUGAAAGUGAUGAUCCACAAGAUAUGGAUUCUACUAUGUUUCCUAAACCAUCACUAAAAAGACAAAUUUCAACUGAUGGUAUUGGAACUAGUAAUCAAGUGAAAAAAAGUAAGACAAAAUCUACAGCUGCAUCAAUGAAAGAAGAUAUGCACUCUUUAGUAGAGUUAAUGUCUAACAAAAGUACUGCUGCAUCUCAUGCUGUAGAUGAUCCCACCAUUGAUAAGUGUAUGGAUUUUUUGGCAAACAUUCCUGGCAUUUUUGAAAGGGGUGAAAUGUACAACUAUUUUGUGAACAUGUUUCUUAAAAAAGACAUUCGACAA